rnacentral:rRNA from 1 species
UACGUAGGGGGCUAGCGUUGUCCGGAAUCAUUGGGCGUAAAGCGCGUGUAGGCGGUCCGGUAAGUCCGCUGUGAAAGCCGGGGGCUCAACCCUCGAAUGCCGGUGGAUACUGUCGGGCUAGAGUACGGAAGAGGCGAGUGGAAUUCCUGGUGUAGCGGUGAAAUGCGCAGAUAUCAGGAGGAACACCAAUUGCGAAGGCAGCUCGCUGGGACGUUACUGACGCUGAGACGCGAAAGCGUGGGGAGCAAACAGG